GCCAGUGUGGCAUAGUGGUUUGAGCAUUGGACUAGGACUCUGGAAAUAAGGGUUCAGUUCCCAGCAUAGCCA